GUUUGAUACAUGGAAGCAGAUACCGGAACUGUGAUGACACCACUAACUGCAAUAUCACAAAAAAAACAAUAAAACAUUAUUUAAUAAGCAACAUAUAGAAGCGGAUUAAGGUUACACACGUCCACGUCUGAGCUGUAGCCUCCAGGAUCGAGGCAAACCUGAGUAGAAGAACCUGAUAGUCCCUCAGGGGAAGCCGCAAUGAUUUGAGGCGACCCGUUAGCUUGAAUCUGAAUCUUAUGGGUGGGCACGCCAGACGAGUGCAUUUUUAGUACACCCACGGAAUUACACUGAAAAAUAUUAGUAGGACUGCAUGUGAAUAGAAAACGUUUCAUUAUAUGAUGGGUUUGUUCCAAACGAUUUAAUAAACAUGUCGAAAAACAAAAA